rnacentral:lncRNA from 1 species
CGGGCUACUAUAUCCAAAGAUACACACACACACCAGCCCUGGCUACUAUAUCCAAAGAUACACACACACACCAGCCCGGGCUACUAUAUCCAAAGAUACACACACACACCAGCCCUGGCCACUAUAUCCAAAGAUACACACACACCAGCCCGGGCUACUAUAUCCAAAGAAACACACACACCAGCCCGGGCUACUAUAUCCAAAGAUACACACACACACCAGUCCGGGCUACUAUAUCCAAAGAUACACACACACACCAGCCCGGGCUACUAUAUCCAAAGAUACACACACACCAGCCCGGGCUACUAUAUCCAAAGAUACACACACACCAGCCCGGGCUACUAUAUCCAAAGAUACACACACACCAGCCCUGGCCACUAUAUCCAAAGAUACACACACACCAGCCCGGGCUACUAUAUCCAAAGAUACACACACACACCAGCCCUGGCUACUAUAUCCAAAGAUACACACACACACCAGCCCGGGCUACUAUAUCCAAAGAUACACACACACACCAGCCCUGGCCACUAUAUCCAAAGAUACACACACACCAGCCCGGGCUACUAUAUCCAAAGAAACACACACACCAGCCCGGGCUACUAUAUCCAAAGAUACACACACACACCAGUCCGGGCUACUAUAUCCAAAGAUACACACACACACCAGCCCGGGCUACUAUAUCCAAAGAUACACACACACCAGCCCGGGCUACUAUAUCCAAAGAUACACACACACCAGCCCGGGCUACUAUAUCCAAAGAUACACACACACCAGCCCUGGCCACUAUAUCCAAAGAUACACACACACCAGCCCGGGCUACUAUAUCCAAAGAUACACACACACCAGCCCGGGCUACUAUAUCCAAAGAUACACACACACCAGCCCGGGCUACUAUAUCCAAAGAUACACACACACCAGCCCGGGCUACUAUAUCCAAAGAUACACACACACCAGCCCUGGCCACUAUAUCCAAAGAUACACACACACCAGCCCGGGCUACUAUAUCCAAAGAUACACACACACCAGCCCUGGCCACUAUAUCCAAAGAUACACACACACCAGCCCGGGCUACUAUAUCCAAAGAUACACACACACCAGCCCGGGCUACUAUAUCCAAAGAUACACACAC